UUCAAAAAAGUGGCGCCAGCAUAAUGAAACGACACCGUUUCACCAAACCCUAGCAGAACCUAUGAGUCGACGCAAGGCCAUCUACGGUCGACGCAAAACUGUCGAAUGGUCGACGCAACCUUGCUGUAUGGUCGACGCAUGGCUGAAGAUCUUCAUCUUCUUCAUGAAGAAGAAGAUGAACAGUGCGCGGGCUUCAACAUUUUUCCAGAAUUUUUUCCAGAACUCAAAAAUUAAUACAUCAUCAUGAAGCUCUUGCAAUGGAGAACAAAGAUCAACAAUCAUU
rnacentral:lncRNA from 1 species